CCAAGUUCGAUUCGGUUACUCUUGUGCAAACUGCUAGCGAAAAUGCAUUUAACGCGAUGUCUGAUGUGUGUCCUUCUACUGCUCGGUGUAGCUGGCAGCAGAGUUGAGCAAAGUCCAUCUGCAGUAUCUGCAUCCUCUCGCGCUGCCCUCGAAAUCCAUUGUUCUGCGGAAGGAUCCUUCAGCUCAGAAUUCUCCUGGUACCGCCAGCUACCAAAUGGGGGGCUCUUGUUGCUCUUCUACUCGCCCAACACUAAGAAAAUCGAUCCUAACGAGAAAGUGGAUGGUUUCACAGCUUCCAGAUCCGACGACUCUACUUUCUACCUGCAAACGACCAGUCUGCAAGGGAACCACACUGGCGUGUGUUAUUGUGCCUGGCGAUACCACAGUGACACAAGGAACAAAAUCAGUACCACAAAAAUCCAAUGCAGUGAAGAACUGAACCAGACGCUGCAUUGCUGAAUUGGCCUGUGGUUGGCGGCGGGCUAGGGAUAGAUUGUUGAGGGUGGGGUGUUCUUACCCCCGCCCCGGAGAUGAAAGCACUAAAGUUCAGAGCCAAUCACCUGUUAAGAGACGACCCCUUCUUUCCGAGCAGUAUAUUGGAGACAGCAAAUCGCACUCAGAGCCCCGAACUUCGACAUUGUCUGCACCUAGCUAUAGUCUCAGUAAUUUCACACAAACACGCGAAUGUGUCAGCAUCUGCAGAUGUCUCUGUCUCUUUCUCACCUCUGGGUUGUGCAGUUGAUGU